GACGAACGCUGGCGGCGUGCCUAAUACAUGCAAGUCGAGCGCAGGAAAUCAUCCGAACCCUUCGGGGGGACGUUGAUGGAAUGAGCGGCGGACGGGUGAGUAACACGUAAAGAACCUGCCCUCAGGUCUGGGAUAACCACGAGAAAUCGGGGCUAAUACCGGAUGGGUCAUCGGACCGCAUGGUCCGAGGAUGAAAGGCGCUUCGGCGUCGCCUGGGGAUGGCUUUGCGGUGCAUUAGCUAGUUGGUGGGGUAAUGGCCCACCAAGGCGACGAUGCAUAGCCGACCUGAGAGGGUGAUCGGCCACACUGGGACUGAGACACGGCCCAGACUCCUACGGGAGGCAGCAGUAGGGAAUCUUCCACAAUGGACGAAAGUCUGAUGGAGCAACGCCGCGUGAACGAUGAAGGCCUUCGGGUCGUAAAGUUCUGUUGUAAGGGAAGAACAAGUGCCGCAGGCAAUGGCGGCACCUUGACGGUACCUUGCGAGAAAGCCACGGCUAACUACGUGCCAGCAGCCGCGGUAACAC
rnacentral:rRNA from 1 species